GAGUUUGAUCCUGGCUCAGAUUGAACGCUGGCGGCAGGCCUAACACAUGCAAGUCGAACGGUAACAGGAAGCAGCUUGCUGCUUCGCUGACGAGUGGCGGACGGGUGAGUAAUGUCUGGGAAACUGCCUGAUGGAGGGGGAUAACUACUGGAAACGGUAGCUAAUACCGCAUAACGUCGCAAGACCAAAGAGGGGGACCUUCGGGCCUCUUGCCAUCGGAUGUGCCCAGAUGGGAUUAGCUUGUUGGUGGGGUAACGGCUCACCAAGGCGACGAUCCCUAGCUGGUCUGAGAGGAUGACCAGCCACACUGGAACUGAGACACGGUCCAGACUCCUACGGGAGGCAGCAGUGGGGAAUAUUGCACAGUGGGCGCAAGCCUGAUGCAGCCAUGCCGCGUGUAUGAAGAAGGCCUUCGGGUUGUAAAGUACUUUCAGCGGGGAGGAAGGGAGUAAAGUUAAUACCUUUACUCAUUGACGUUACCCGCAGAAGAAGCACCGGCUAACUCCGUGCCAGCAGCCGCGGUAAUACGGAGGGUGCAAGCGUUAAUCGGAAUUACUGGGCGUAAAGCGCACGCAGGCGGUUUGUUAAGUCAGAUGUGAAAUCCCCGGGCUCAACCUGGGAACUGCAUCUGAUACUGGCAAGCUUGAGUCUCGUAGAGGGGGGUAGAAUUCCAGGUGUAGCGGUGAAAUGCGUAGA
rnacentral:rRNA from 1 species